GAUGAACGCUGGCGGCGUGCCUAAUACAUGCAAGUCGAGCGAACGGACGAGAAGCUUGCUUCUCUGAUGUUAGCGGCGGACGGGUGAGUAACACGUGGAUAACCUACCUAUAAGACUGGGAUAACUUCGGGAAACCGGAGCUAAUACCGGCUAAUAUUUUGAACCGCAUGGUUCAAGAGUGAAAGACGGUCUUGCUGUCACUUAUAGAUGGAUCCGCGCUGCAUUAGCUAGUUGGUAAGGUAACGGCUUACCAAGGCAACGAUGCAUAGCCGACCUGAGAGGGUGAUCGGCCACACUGGAACUGAGACACGGUCCAGACUCCUACGGGAGGCAGCAGUAGGGAAUCUUCCGCAAUGGGCGAAAGCCUGACGGAGCAACGCCGCGUGAGUGAUGAAGGUCUUCGGAUUGUAAAACUCUGUUAUUAGGGAAGAACAUAUGUGUAAUUAACUGUGCACAUCUUGACGGUACCUAAUCAGAAAGCCACGGCUAACUACGUG
rnacentral:rRNA from 1 species